rnacentral:rRNA from 1 species
UACGGAGGAUGCGAGCGUUAUCCGGAUUUAUUGGGUUUAAAGGGUGCGCAGGCGGCCUGUUAAGUCAGCGGUAAAAGCCCGGGGCUCAACCCCGGCGAGCCGUUGAAACUGCCGUGCUAGAGAGGAAGAGAAGUAGGCGGAAUGCGCAGUGUAGCGGUGAAAUGCUUAGAUAUCGCGCAGAACCCCGAUUGCGAAGGCAGCCUGCCGGCCCCACACUGACGCUGAGGCACGAAAGCGUGGGUAUCGAACAGG